GGGGUUGUGGCUCAGUGGUAGAGUGCUUGCCUAGCAUGCAUGAGGCAUGAGGUUUGAUCCCCAGCACCA
rfam:Ictidomys tridecemlineatus contig008675, whole genome shotgun sequence.